rnacentral:rRNA from 1 species
AUACGGAGGAUGCAAGCGUUAUCCGGAUUUAUUGGGUUUAAAGGGUGCGUAGGCGGGAAGUCAAGUCUGUGGUGAAAAGUCCGGGCCUAACCUGGAUCGUGCCAUGGAAACUGUCUUUCUUGAAUAGUGGUGCCGUUGGCGGAAUGUGAAGUGUAGCGGUGAAAUGCUUAGAUAUUACACAGAACACCGAUUGCGAAAGCAGCUGACGAACCACCGAUUGACGCUGAUGCACGAAAGUGCGGGUAGCGAACAGGAUUAGAUACCCUGGUAGUCCGCACAGUAAACGAUGACAACUAGCCGUUGGCGAUAUAUUGUUCAGUAGCGUAGCGAAAGCGUUAAGUUGUCCACCUGGGGAGUACGACCGCAAGGUUGAAACUCAAAGGAAUUGACGGGU